rnacentral:rRNA from 1 species
GAUGAACGCUGGCGGCGUGCCUAACACAUGCAAGUCGAACGGACUUUUCAUGAAGCCUAGCGAUUGAAAAGUUAGUGGCGGACGGGUGAGUAACGCGUGGGUAACCUGCCUUGUACUGGGGGACAACAGUUGGAAACGACUGCUAAUACCGCAUAAGCGCACAGCUUCGCAUGAAGCAGUGUGAAAAACUCCGGUGGUACAAGAUGGACCCGCGUCUGAUUAGCUGGUUGGUGAGGGAACGGCCCACCAAGGCGACGAUCAGUAGCCGGCCUGAGAGGGUGAACGGCCACAUUGGGACUGAGACACGGCCCAAACUCCUACGGGAGGCAGCAGUGGGGAAUAUUGCACAAUGGGGGAAACCCUGAUGCAGCAACGCCGCGUGAGUGAAGAAGUAUUUCGGUAUGUAAAGCUCUAUCAGCAGGGAAGAAAAUGACGGUACCUGACUAAGAAGCCCCGGCUAACUACGUGCCAGCCGCCGCCGUAA